GUCAGGAUGGCCGAGCUUAAGGCGCGUUCAGUGCAGUCCACUUGUUUGGGUGGGUUCGAAUCCCACUUCUGACA